CACGCAGCGAAAGAGAUAGAACAGAUGUGAAAAAUGAUGAAAGCAUGCUUUGUCGGCCAUUAAAGCUUCAACCCAAGAGCUCUGGUCCCUUCUCCUCUCACACCCAUCAUUCCAUUCACGACAGUCAGUACCCCCAUAAGCUCCAACUUAACUCCAGCACUUGCCUUUCCCCUUCUCUCUCUCUCUCUCUCUUCUGGAAUAAAAUAUUCCAAGAAAGAUCUUUCUUUGAAUCUACUGAGUUUCUUGCUGCAAAAAGGGGCAAUAAAGGUGUGGGCUUUGAGAUAUUUCUGCGCAAAUCUUGGCCUCUAGACCGGAGAUCCCCACCAUUUGUCGGAAAAGGCGAACUGGGUUUGUCUCACUUUUUUCUUCUGGUUCAUAAUUCCCAUGGUUUUCAGUUUGUUACUUGAGGAAGUUACUGCCCCCCACUGCUGCUGGACUUGCUGCUUACAUUGCCACUUCUUUUUUCUAUGAGCGUUCUUAGACAUUGAGAGUGUUACUAAAAUGACGAAAGCAUUUGAGGUGAGGAGGGCUUUGGAACUGCAGUUUGCGAGAAUUUUACUUGCCUUAGCCCUACUUGCUUCUAUUUCAGAGGGGUUGAAUAAUGAAGGGCUCUGCCUUUUAGAGCUGAAGAAAAGUAUGCAGGAUGGAUUUGAUUUUUUGGGAAAUUGGAACUCCUCUGAUCAAACACCUUGCGGAUGGAUGGGUGUAAAUUGCUCUUCUGGUUACGAUCCAGUGGUUAAGGGUCUUGAUUUGAGUUCCCUGAAUCUUUCGGGAGUCCUCAGUCCUAGCAUUGGUGGUUUGGUCCACCUAACUUCUCUUGAUCUUUCAGACAAUGGUUUCGUGGGAGGUAUUCCUAAGGAGAUAGGAAACUGUUGGAGUUUGGAAAGAAUUUAUCUGAACAAUAACAAGUUCACUGGCCAAAUACCUUUGGAAGUGGGUAAGCUGUUAAAUUUAACAGUUUUGAAUCUUUGUAAUAACAGAAUCAGUGGUCCGAUUCCAGAUGAGAUUGGGAACUUGUCUUCACUGGCUGAGUUCGUGGUAUACACCAACAAUAUUACUGGUUCAAUACCUCAUUCCCUUGGGAAUCUCAAGAAUCUGGUAACGUUUAGAGCUGGGCAGAAUGCUAUUUCUGGUAGCCUACCGGCCGAAAUAGGUGGAUGUGAGAGCUUGCAAUUGCUUGGUCUCGCCCAAAAUUCUAUAGGAGGGGAAUUGCCUAAGGAGUUUGGGAUGCUUCAAAGCUUGACAGAUGUGGUUCUGUGGGGUAACCAGGUAUCAGGAUUUAUACCCAAGGAGCUUGGAAAUUGCUCUAGCCUUGAGACUAUUGCUUUGUAUCAGAACAAUCUUGUGGGGCCUUUACCUCCAGAAAUUGGGAACCUCAAGUCAUUGAGGAAAUUGUACAUUUACAGGAAUGGCUUGAAUGGAACCAUUCCAAGGGAAUUUGGAAAUCUUUCUUUGGCAUCUGAGAUUGAUUUCUCGGAGAACUAUUUGACAGGUGAGAUCCCAUCAGAGAUAAGUAAGAUAAAGGGUCUAACCUUACUGUACCUGUUCCAGAACCAGCUUACGGGUGUGAUUCCAAAUGAACUGAGUGGCUUGGGGAACCUGACUAAGCUUGACCUUUCCAUUAAUAAUCUCAGAGGUCCUAUCCCCGAUGGGUUUCAAUAUUUGACUCAAAUGUACCAGUUACAACUGUUCGACAAUUCUCUAAGUGGUAGCAUACCGCGGGGGCUUGGACUUCACAGCCGACUGUGGGUAGUUGAUUUAUCCGAUAACUUACUGACAGGAAGAAUACCUCCAUAUAUUUGUCGAUAUUCCAAUCUAAUUUUGUUGAACCUGGAGUCUAAUGAUCUGAUCGGAAAUAUUCCGGCUGGAGUCUUGAACUGCAAGUCCUUGGUGCAACUUCGUCUUGUUGGAAACAUGCUUACUGGGAGCUUUCCUUCGCAACUAUGCAGUUUGCCAAACCUUUCUGCGAUUGAAUUGGAUCAGAACAAAUUCACUGGUCCAAUUCCUCCAGAGAUUAGGAACUGCCAAAAGUUGCAAAGGCUUCAUAUUUCAGACAACUACUUUACAUCUGAGUUGCCAAAGGAAAUAGGAUAUCUGUCUCAACUGGUGACGUUCAACACAUCAUCCAAUUUGUUCACCGGGCGGAUUCCACCAGAAAUCGUUAACUGCAAGAUGCUUCAACGACUUGAUCUCAGUCGAAAUAGGUUCAUGGGUGCUUUGCCAAAUGAGCUGGGAACACUUCUGCAACUAGAGCUUCUCAGGCUUUCAGAAAAUAAUUUCACGGGAAACAUACCAGCAGAAUUAGGAAACCUCUCCCAUUUGACUGAGUUGCAGAUGGGUGCCAACUUGUUUUCUGGUGAAAUACCACCAGAAUUGGGUUCUAUUUCAAGCUUGCAGAUUGCAAUGAAUCUGAGCUUUAAUAAUUUCAGUGGGAGAAUACCGCCAGCUCUUGGAAAUCUUAAUAUGCUUGAAUUCCUCUUGCUCAAUAACAACCAUUUAACUGGUGAAAUUCCUAGCACAUUUGAGGGUCUGUCAAGCUUACUAGGGUGCAACUUCUCAUACAAUGACCUUACUGGACCUUUACCUUCCAUCCCAUUGUUUCAGAACAUGGAGAUUAGCAGCUUCAUCGGUAACAAAGGGCUCUGUGGCAGACCGCUUGGUGGUUGCAAUGUUAAUUCAUCUCCUCAAUCUGUUCCAUCUCUGGCAAGUGGGGGUACUCAACGCAGUAAAAUUGUUACAGUAAUUGCUGCUGCUGUGGGUGGCGUUUCUCUUAUUCUAAUUGCUGUUAUCUUAUAUUUCAUGAGACAUCCAGGCCAGAGAGUUCCUUCCUUGCAAGAUAAGGAUGCUCUAUCUCCUGAUACGGAUAUGUACUUACCUCCAAAGGAGGGAUUUAUGUUCCAAGAUCUAGUUGAGGCGACAAAUAACUUUCAUGAAAGCUAUGUUAUUGGAAGGGGAGCUUGUGGAAUUGUUUAUAAGGCAGUAAUGCGAACUGGACAGACUAUUGCUGUUAAGAAAUUGUCAUCUAACCGAGAGAGCAAUAACAUUGAAAACAGUUUUCAGGCCGAGAUUAAGACCUUAGGAAAUAUAAGGCAUCGGAAUAUUGUGAAGCUAUAUGGAUUCUGCUAUCACCAGGGUUCCAAUCUACUUCUUUAUGAGUACAUGGCAAAGGGUAGCUUGGGUGAAUUGCUUCAUGGUGACUCUUGUAGCUUGGACUGGCCAAUGCGUUUUAUGAUUGCUUUGGGAGCUGCUGAAGGUCUUGCUUAUUUACAUCAUGACUGCAAACCGAAGAUUGUCCACCGUGAUAUAAAGUCCAACAAUAUUUUGCUAGAUGAGAACUUUGAAGCCCAUGUUGGUGAUUUUGGUUUGGCCAAAGUGAUUGAUAUGCCUUAUUCAAAAUCAAUGUCAGCAGUUGCAGGGUCGUAUGGAUAUAUUGCUCCUGAGUACGCAUACACCAUGAAGGUUACAGAAAAAUGCGACAUCUAUAGCUAUGGGGUUGUUCUGUUGGAGUUGCUAACUGGAAGAACUCCUGUCCAAUCACUAGAUCAAGGAGGCGACUUGGUCACCUUGGUGAGACACUAUGUUCAAGACCAUUCAUUGACAUCUGGGAUACUUGAUAGUCGGUUAAAUCUUCUAGAUGGACUUCUUGUUGAUCACAUGCUUAAUGUCUUAAAAAUUGCUUUGAUAUGCACAAGUAUGUCCCCUUUUGACCGUCCAUCGAUUCGAGAAGUUGUCUUGAUGCUUAUUGAGUCGAAUGAGCAAGAUGGGGACUUUUCUCCGUCUCCAACUUUCAAUCUUCCUUUGAAAGAUGCAACGGAUCCUCCUUUGAAAGAUGAUAGUCGGUGAAAGCAUACAACACAUCCGUAGAUUAUAGUAACUCCGAUGAUUUUUUUCGGGCUCUGAUUCAUCCUCAUAUUAUUUGCAACAAGAAAAUGAUUUGUGGAUGAGCUGUUGAUCCAAAGGACCGUCGGGGCUUGGUCUAGGGAUGAAGCGUGGUGCAAAUUUGUUGAUAUUGUUGAUCCAAAUGGUCGUCGGGGCUUGAUCUUAGGAUGAACGGGUCUUCAAGGGCCUUUGGGGCUUGAUCUUGAUGAACGGAUCUUCAAGGGCCUUCAGAGUUUGAUCUUGAUGAACAGUUGUGUGGAUUUCUUCAAGGGCUGUUGGACUUGAUCUUGAUGAAUGAGGAUGAACAGAUCUUCAAGGGCCUUUGGGGCUUGAUCUUGAUGAACAGUUGUGUGGAUUUCUUCAAGGGGGCUUUGGGUUUGAUCUUGAUGAAUGAGGAUGAACGGUUCUUCAAAUUCUUCAAGGAUUUGACGAAGAACAAAGAGAGUUUUCUUGAUCCUUCGGGAUUCUUGGGAAUUUGGAAGGUUGGAUGCUUGAAAGCUUUAGAGUUCUAUAACUUCAAGGAUUUGGAGAUUUCUCUUCCAAUUUGGGAGUAGAGAAAUGCAUAUGUGAAUUGGUCCCCUUAAAUGGAUGAAAUGGCCUUAUAUUUAUAGAAUUGUUUCAAGGCCUAAUUUUGAAUAUAAUAUUCAGAUGAAAUAAAUCAUUUCUAUCAGGUGUUGACAUGUGUCUUA